rnacentral:tRNA from 1 species
AUUUUUAUGGUGUAAAAAACACACUACAUUUUCGCUGUAGUAUUAAAGUAUAAACUUUUAAAAAUU